rnacentral:rRNA from 1 species
AUUGAACGCUGGCGGCAUGCCUUACACAUGCAAGUCGAACGGCAGCACGGGUGCUUGCACCUGGUGGCGAGUGGCGAACGGGUGAGUAAUACAUCGGAACAUUUCCUGUAGUGGGGGGUAGCCCGGCGAAAGCCGGAUUAAUACCGCAUACGAACCACGGAAGAAAGCGUGGGACCCUCGGACCUCGCGCGAUAGGGUUGGCCGAUAGCGGAUUAGCUAGUUGGGGGGGUAAAGGCCUACAAAGGCGAGGAUCAGUAGCUGGUCUGUGAGGACGAGCACCGGCCCGAGGAGGGAGACACGGCCCAGAGUCCUGAGGGAGGCAGCAGAGGGGAAUUGGGGGCAGUGGGCGAAAGCAUGAUCCAGCAAGGCCGCGUGUGUGAAGAAGGCCUUCGGGUUGGAAAGCACUUUUGUGCGGUAAGAAAUCCUUGGCUCUAGGACAGUCGGGGGAUGACGGUACCGGAAGAAUAAGCACCGGCUAACUACGUG